ACUCCUACGGGAGGCAGCAGUGGGGAAUAUUGCACAAUGGGGGAAACCCUGAUGCAGCAACGCCGCGUGAGCGAAGAAGGCCUUCGGGUCGUAAAGCUCUGUCCUAAGGGAAGAAGUAUGACGGUACCUUAGGAG
rnacentral:rRNA from 1 species